rnacentral:lncRNA from 1 species
GUCUUGAUUUAGCAAAAAAAAAAAAAAAAAGAGUUCAUUCCUUCAUCCUUCCAAACAAGGUACAGAACGACAAUAUACAUUACUGAAAAACACAACUGCAUUUUAUAUUGCUCACUACCCUUUAAAUAAGUAUAAUUCAGAUACUAAAGAAAAGAACUGUGAAUCACAUUAAUGCAUUACAGAAAUCAAAAUUAACUUACCACACAAAAUAAAUUAAAACAUUAAAUAUUAACCUUUUCAGUGCAACAUAUACAGAAGUCAGAGUAACAAGUUCUUUAAAAAAAAAAGCAUCGGGUUUGUUUUAAUAAGAUAAUGAAAAGUUGAACACUUCAGUAUUAUUACACUAGGAAGAGGCGUUGUGUUCAGUACUGCGUGUGUGUUUACCAUGAGANNNNNNNNNNNGCCUGAUAAAAUCAGAGCUAGAGAACAGGUCUUCUAUUGGAACAUUAAGAACAAACAUAUGUGUUCCUCUUGUUUUUGUGAUGUCCUCCUUGGUCCUGGGCUUUUGAAUCAUCCCCCUGUUCCCCAGAUCCCACUAUGGGAUCAGGAUCGCCCGAGCAGUGUUGGAGCCUCUUUGAACUGUUCCUGUCAAGAUGGCCUGGAAGAGCAGCCAGCGGUCCAUGUGCACUGAAGCAGCCUGGACCCGGGAAACCUGAAGAUGCAGACACGUGCUCCACAAGCAUAGACCAGGCUCCCCCAAAGCUCUGGAGGUGCACCUCCUCCCUCACCAAUGUGGGUGGGGGUAAUGUCAAUUCUACCGUCUCCUCUCAUGGGAAAAUAGACUCCGGGGACAUUCUGCCCCUCUUCUCUGCUGGCACACAAUGGCAAGCUCAAGUCUUGCUUAUUUACCACAUGUGUUCAGAUGUGUCUUCCAGAUCAGGAUUGG